rnacentral:lncRNA from 1 species
GAACAAUUGAGAUUAGGAAGUGAGACAGGAUUGAUGGAGUUAAGGAAAUUUAGACUGAGUGACCUGAAAUUCACAUGUUAAGUGGUGAUGAUGAGGGAGGGAGGGAGGAAAGGAGGGAAAGAUAGAAGGGAGGGAGGGAGGGAAGGGAGGACAGAAGAAAGGAAGGAAGGAAGGGAGGGGAGAAAAGAAGGAAGGAAACCAGAAUUGAGGACAGCUGGGAAAGGAGGGAGAAACAUAACAACUGUCAGGAAAAGAAAUGUGGUCUCGCCUGCUGGUGAGAUGAGUGAGGUUUCAGCCCUGUGAGCCGGUUCAGCAUGGAGCAGCUGCAAGGGCUGUGGGUUCUCUGAAGAGACAGAAGCAGCUGGACAUCGAGAGGAGCAUAUCGGAGGAGGAACACACAGGUGGCUGGAUGUCGGGAGGAACGCACCGGCAUGCCAGCAGGCCCCUGGCCAGCAGGCCCCUGACCAGCAGAAUGACGCAGAGUUUGGCUGGGGCAGUCAGAGGAGAGCCCAGGCUGCCAAGCCGCCUGACUCCAGGGGAAAACCAUCACCCUUCUAGCUCCCCUAUCUGCUGAAA